CCUAGGGAGCUGCAGUGGGGAAUAUUGGACAAUGGGCGAAAGCCUGAUCCAGCCAUGCCGCGUGUGUGAAGAAGGCCUUCGGGUUGUAAAGCACUUUCAGUGGGGAAGAAAGCCUUGGGGCUAAUACCCUCGAGGAAGGACAUCACCCACAGAAGAAGCACCGGCUAACUCCGUGCCAGCAGCCGCGGUAAUACGGAGGGUGCGAGCGUUAAUCGGAAUUACUGGGCGUAAAGCGCGCGUAGGCGGUCUGAUAAGCCGGUUGUGAAAGCCCCGGGCUCAACCUGGGAACGGCAUCCGGAACUGUCAGGCUAGAGUGCAGGAGAGGAAGGUAGAAUUCCCGGUGUAGCGGUGAAAUGCGUAGAGAUCGGGAGGAAUACCAGUGGCGAAGGCGGCCUUCUGGACUGACACUGACGCUGAGGUGCGAAAGCGUGGGUAGCAAACAGGAUUAGAUACCCUGGUAGUC
rnacentral:rRNA from 1 species